CCUACGGGAGGCAGCAGUGGGGAAUCUUGCGCAAUGGGCGAAAGCCUGACGCAGCAACGCCGCGUGGGGGAUGAAGGCUCUCGGGUUGUAAACCCCUUUCAGCAGGGACGAAUCAAGACGGUACCUGCAGAAGAAGCCCCGGCUAACUACGUGCCAGCAGCCGCGGUAACACGUAGGGGGCAAGCGUUGUCCGGAUUUAUUGGGCGUAAAGAGCUCGUAGGUGGCUGAGUAAGUCGGAUGUUAAAUCCCCAGGCUCAACCUGGGACACCACCCGAUACUGCUCUGGCUAGAGUCCGGUAGGGGAGCGUGGAAUUCCUGGUGUAGCGGUGAAAUGCGCAGAUAUCAGGAGGAACACCAGCGGCGAAGGCGGCGCUCGUGGGCCGGUACUGACACUGAGGAGCGAAAGCGUGGGUAGCAAACAGGAUUAGAUACCCGUGGUAGUCCACGCCGUAAACGUUGGCACUAGGUGUGGGGUCUAUUCAACGGACUCCGUGCCGUAGCUAACGCAUUAAGUCGCCCCGCGUGGGGNGUACGGCCGCAGGACUAAACUCAAAUGAAUUGACG
rnacentral:rRNA from 1 species